GAGUUUGAUUCUCGCUCAGAUUGAACACUGGCGGCAGGCCUAACACAUGCAAGUCGAGCGGCAGCACGGGUACUUGUACCUGGUGGCGAGCGGCUUUACCCGUGAGUAAUGCCUAGGAAUCUGCCUGGUAGUGGGGGAUAACGCUCGGAAACGGACGCUAAUACCGCAUACGUCCUACGGGAGAAAGCAGGGGACCUUCGGGCCUUGCGCUAUCAGAUGAGCCUAGGUCGGAUUAGCUAGUUGGUGAGGUAAUGGCUCACCAAGGCGACGAUCCGUAACUGGUCUGAGAGGAUGAUCAGUCACACUGGAACUGAGACACGGUCCAGACUCCUACGGGAGGCAGCAGUGGGGAAUAUUGGACAAUGGGCGAAAGCCUGAUCCAGCCAUGCCGCGUGUGUGAAGAAGGUCUUCGGAUUGUAAAGCACUUUAAGUUGGGAGGAAGGGCAGUUACCUAAUACGUAAUUGUUUUGACUUUACCGACAGAAUAAGCACCGGCUAAGUCUGUGCCAGCAGCCGCGGUAAUACAGAGGGUGCAAGCGUUAAUCGGAAUUACUGGGCGUAAAGCGCGCGUAGGUGGUUCGUUAAGUUGGAUGUGAAAUCCCCGGGCUCAACCUGGGAACUGCAUUCAAAACUGUCGAGCUAGAGUAUGGUAGAGGGUGGUGGAAUUUCCUGUGU
rnacentral:rRNA from 1 species